UAGGGAAUCUUCCGCAAUGGACGAAAGUCUGACGGAGCAACGCCGCGUGAGUGAAGAAGGAUUUCGGUUCGUAAAACUCUGUUGUUAGGGAAGAAAAAAUGUAUAGUAACUAUAUACAAAAGAGACGGUACCUAACCAGAAAGCCACGGCUAACUACGUGCCAGCAGCCGCGGUAAUACGUAGGUGGCAAGCGUUGUCCGGAAUUAUUGGGCGUAAAGCGCGCGCAGGUGGUUUAGAAAGUCUGAUGUGAAAGCCCACGGCUCAACCGUGGAGGGUCAUUGGAAACUAAUAAACUUGAGUGCAGGAGAGAAAAGUGGAAUUCCUAGUGUAGCGAUGAAAUGCGUAGAGAUUAGGAGGAACACCGGUGGCGAAAGCGGCUUUUUGGCCUGCAACUGACACUGAGGCGCGAAAGCGGGGGGAGCAAACAGG
rnacentral:rRNA from 1 species